GGAGUCUGCAACUCGACUCCAUGAAGUCGGAAUCGCUAGUAAUCGCGGAUCAGAAUGCCGCGGUGAAUACGUUCCCGGGCCUUGUACACACCGCCCGUCACACCAUGGGAGUUUGUUGCACCAGAAGUAGCUAGCCUAACUGCAAAGAGGGCGGUUACCACGGUGUGGCCGAUGACUGGGGUGAAGUCGUAACAAGGUAGCCGUAGGGGAACCUGCGGCUGGAUCACCUCCUUA
rnacentral:rRNA from 1 species